CUUCCUCUUGGUAAGCAUUUAUAGGGCAGCUGGCAGCACAUCCUUUGCUGUGAUACUAAUCUAGGAAGUAAGGUAGGCACAGAACCGAACUAGCCAUGACAUCUCCUAAUCUUCUUCUUCUCCCCAUCCGCCCCGCAACUCCAUAUCGCGUCGUGCUCGCCGUCCACGUCGCCGCCGGUCGCAUCGGCAUCCCCAGCAGCGAGAACUUGUCCAUACAUACACAUGGAUGAGGGGACUAGCUACCCUCGGACGGCACGCUCUGGUGACGGGAGGCCAGAAUGCUCGAGGGCGCCACCGCGGACGACGAGGUCGUGCAGCUCGCCGCCGAUUCCUCUUCCCUAGUGGCGCAUGGGGCGUGCUCCGACCUUCCGCCAGGUACGAGCCUCACGCGGUAGAUGCUGAGCUGCUCAAGGGCGCCCCCGAGGAGGACGAGGCCGUGCAGCUCACCGCUAGUUCCUCGUUCCUGCCCGCCGCCUCCUCGUCCAUGCCCGCCACCAGCUCCCGUUUCCUGCCCAUCGCAGCCUCCGGCGCAUGCCAGGAACGCACGGUCGAAGUCGCCGUUGUAGCCUGGGACGGCAGCCGAGAUGUGGCUGGGACGCGUGGACGAGGUCGCCGUUAAAGGCAACCAAGAAUCCUGUCCCGCAUCUCCGCUGCCUCUUCGCUGUCCACAAGUCCCCCGAGGCCGCCGCCUGGUCCGUACGGAUCACGGGGGCAGGGGUGGAGCCCCGCAUGGAGGAGCGAACAAGGACCUCCGAGCCAGGUACAUGUUGCGGCUGGCCGGUCCUGUUCGGUGUCGAGGGGAACGGAGGAAGGGGCGCAUCGUUCAUGCACGCGCUUGGCCCCGCACCAGCGAUGGCUGGUAGGGGCGGCCAUGCUCCGUGGGAGGUCCGAUUCUCCGUCGCCGGGGUCGGGCCGCGGCUGGUCCAGGGAUGCAUCGAGCGCGGGCUUGCGCCAAGAGAGCAAACCGCCGAGUUGUGGAGAGGAAUUAGUGCAGCAGCCAAGAGAGGGCGAUGCUAUCCUCGGCUCUCACGGCAUUUUUUCCUUUGUUUCUGCGAUUCCUAGUGAAUGGCAUUUUUCCAUUGAUGGUGAUUUUGGUGAUGGGAUCAGUGAAUUAGUUGAUUGGUUUUGGUGAAUUUGGUUUCAUGGUGAAUCUUUUAAUUUUAGUCUUGUGAAAUUUUGUGGGAUAUUUAUUGUGAUUCCUAGUUUUCUAAUUAACUUUUUUAACUUAAUUGAGAAAUUUCUAGAAGUAAAACAAUAAAUUUCUCAGUUUCUGGGUGACGGAGGCGCUGGAUCGGCGAGUGCCGGCACUGGAUCUGUGUGCCCCGCCCGGAAAACGGCACCUCGUGCCCCGUCACGCUCAUCCUGGGUGACGACAUCGGACCCCUCGUCCCCAGAGCCGUGCAGCAGGUCAUGGAGCUCGCCCCUCUAUUUCAAGACCUGGUCACGGGAGACGCGCAACGGAGCUUGACCCUCUACUCCAUCCGCCCCUGUUCUGCCUCAAGGGUGAGAAGGAACAACGAGAUGCGAAUGGUGCAAGUGCGCCAUAUGCGCCGCGAGGUCGGGCAGCUGCUCGACGGCAACCAAAACAAAGACGGCAUGAAUCAGGGGAAAGCUGAAACUGAGUUCAGUCUGGUAGCACGUGUAGUCUGAUGGAUAAAGGUUGAUCUCAAUGCUGCGGGAAGACUAUCGCCUGCCCCGCCACGUCUCGAAAAGAAACUCAGAAAGGUGCUUCAGGGAGAUCAGGGCUAGGUGUUGCUGGGUGAUGAAAGUGGAAUAGCUGGGCGGAGGAGGAGCAGCAGGAGGCCGAAGGUGGAGUAGAUGCAGAGAUCGGGAGCAUCCGGUCGAGCAGUUGAACAUCGAGGCAGAGCCAGCUCUUCGCUGAGCACCUGAUGACCUGAUGGUCGAUGGGCGAAGGGGAAGCAGAU